AACGCUAGCUACAGGCUUAACACAUGCAAGUCGAGGGGCAGCAUGGUCUUAGCUUGCUAAGGCCGAUGGCGACCGGCGCACGGGUGAGUAACACGUAUCCAACCUGCCGUCUACUCUUGGACAGCCUUCUGAAAGGAAGAUUAAUACAAGAUGGCAUCAUGAGUCCGCAUGUUCACAUGAUUAAAGGUAUUCCGGUAGACGAUGGGGAUGCGUUCCAUUAGAUAGUAGGCGGGGUAACGGCCCACCUAGUCUUCGAUGGAUAGGGGUUCUGAGAGGAAGGUCCCCCACAUUGGAACUGAGACACGGUCCAAACUCCUACGGGAGGCAGCAGUGAGGAAUAUUGGUCAAUGGGCGAGAGCCUGAACCAGCCAAGUAGCGUGAAGGAUGACUGCCCUAUGGGUUGUAAACUUCUUUUAUAAAGGAAUAAAGUCGGGUAUGGAUACCCGUUUGCAUGUACUUUAUGAAUAAGGAUCGGCUAACUCCGUGCCAGCAGCCGCGGUAAUACGGAGGAUCCGAGCGUUAUCCGGAUUUAUUGGGUUUAAAGGGAGCGUAGAUGGAUGUUUAAGUCAGUUGUGAAAGUUUGCGGCUCAACCGUAAAAUUGCAGUUGAUACUGGAUAUCUUGAGUGCAGUUGAGGCAGGCGGAAUUCGUGGUGUAGCGGUGAAAUGCUUAGAUAUCACGAAGAACUCCGAUUGCGAAGGCAGCCUGCUAAGCUGCAACUGACAUUGAGGCUCGAAAGUGUGGGUAUCAAACAGGAUUAGAUACCCUGGUAGUCCACACGGUAAACGAUGAAUACUCGCUGUUUGCGAUAUACAGCAAGCGGCCAAGCGAAAGCGUUAAGUAUUCCACCUGGGGAGUACGCCGGCAACGGUGAAACUCAAAGGAAUUGACGGGGGCCCGCACAAGCGGAGGAACAUGUGGUUUAAUUCGAUGAUACGCGAGGAACCUUACCCGGGCUUAAAUUGCAGAUGAAUUACGGUGAAAGCCGUAAGCCGCAAGGCAUCUGUGAAGGUGCUGCAUGGUUGUCGUCAGCUCGUGCCGUGAGGUGUCGGCUUAAGUGCCAUAACGAGCGCAACCCUUGUUGUCAGUUACUAACAGGUUCCGCUGAGGACUCUGACAAGACUGCCAUCGUAAGAUGUGAGGAAGGUGGGGAUGACGUCAAAUCAGCACGGCCCUUACGUCCGGGGCUACACACGUGUUACAAUGGGGGGUACAGAGGGCCGCUACCACGCGAGUGGAUGCCAAUCCCCAAAACCUCUCUCAGUUCGGACUGGAGUCUGCAACCCGACUCCACGAAGCUGGAUUCGCUAGUAAUCGCGCAUCAGCCACGGCGCGGUGAAUACGUUCCCGGGCCUUGUACACACCGCCCGUCAAGCCAUGGGAGCCGGGGGUACCUGAAGUGCGUAACCGCGAGGAGCGCCCUAGGGUAAAACUGGUGAAAG
rnacentral:rRNA from 1 species